ensembl:snRNA U4 U4 spliceosomal RNA
AGCUUUGCGCAGUGGCAGUAUCAUAGCCAAUGAGGUUUAUCCGAGGCGCCAUUAUUGCUAAUUGAAAACUUUUACCAAUACCCCGCCGUGACAACUUGAAAUAUUAGCAGUUAUUUUCAACUA